rnacentral:rRNA from 1 species
AUGGCUGUCGUCAGCUCGUGCCGUGAGGUGUUGGGUUAAGUCCCUUAACGAGCGCAACCCCUAUCUUUAGUUGCCAGCACUUUCAGGUGGGCACUCUAAAGAAACUGCCUACGUAAGUAGAGAGGAAGGAGGGGAUGACGUCAAGUCAUCAUGGCCCUUAUGCCGGGGGCUACACACAUGCUACAAUGGUGGGUACAGAGGGAAGCCACUUGGCAACAAGGAGCUAAUCCCAAAAGCCCAUCACAGUUCGGAUUGGAGUCUGCAACUCGACUCCAUGAAGCUGGAUUCGCUAGUAAUCGUGGAUCAGCAACGUCACGGUGAAUACGUUCCCGGGCCUUGUACACACCGCCCGU